GAUGGAUGGCUGAGUUGGACACGUUCUGGAUCCACACGACCUUAGAUGAAGCCAGCUGCAACCCGUAGAGUGGAGUCGUGGAGAGAGCCCCUCGCCCCUCAGCUAAACCAGAGUAAAUGAAGCCAGCACCAACCUGUGGAGUGGAGUCCAGGAGAGAGCAUGCCGCCCCUCAGCUAAACCAGAUUAGAUGAAGCCAGCUGCAACCCGUAGAGUGGAGUUGUGGAGAGAGCCCCUCGCCCCUCAGCUAAACCAGAGUAAAUGAAGCCAGCACCAACCUGUGGAGUGGAGUCCAGGAGAGAGCAUGCCGCCCCUCAGCUAAACCAGAUUAGAUGAAGCCAGCUGCAACCCGUAGAGUGGAGUUGUGGAGAGAGCCCCUCGCCCCUCAGCUAAACCAGAGUAAAUGAAGCCAGCACCAACCUGUGGAGUGGAGUCCAGGAGAGAGCAUGCCGCCCCUCAGCUAAACCAGAUCAGAUAAAGCCAACUGGAACCAUAUUUUUACAUAUUUUAUAUUAAAUAUAUUGAAUAAAACUACAUAUGAUAAAGAAAGUGUUAUCUUAUCUUUUUUAUAUGCUAAACUUGAUUAAAUUGGUGAUUACAUGUUGAA